GUUCAACCACGACAUCCACAUCAUAUCGGCCGACGUCCAUGCCCGUGACUUCUGCGUCCUACAUAACAACCGAUAGCAACUUGAAAAAUAGACAACAUUAUCUUUUAGACAUUUUUGGCAAGUUUGACUGGCUGGUUUCAUAAUUAUUUUUGGACAUAUGCAAAAAUAAAAAGAUCUACAUAAAGAAGAGGGUAUUCGUCUGAAUCAGAUGAAGAUUAAUAACCUUGAAGUGUUUGAUGAGGCAUGUGAUUUUUGCUUGCACAUCCACACACAACUCUCCAUUAACCACAAUACUCACCGUUAUUUCUGAAAUUUAUGGUGUAGUUGUACUUGCGGAACAAUAUGAAAGUGAAGGUGAGAUCAGAGUUUAUACAGUUGUGGAAACAACUUCUUUGAUGGUUGUAGAUCCCGCAAUCGUA